GCCUCUGCCCGCGCUCGGCUCCUUUCUCGCAGCGAGGGUGGGCCGGCGCCUGCAUCACCGUGACAUCACCUCCAUUGAGGAGCUUAUCGGGCGCCCGCGGCGCUCCAGUUCCUAGAACUGCCGGCUUGGAGCAGCCUGAUACCACCUGGCAUUUUGAGAGGACCCAGGUACCAAGGUGGCCCCUUAAGAAGCAGGAAGCCAGGGGCCAGGGAGCAGCCCGCUGUGGUCACGUCCUCUCUGUGCACAGUGCAGCCUGCCCACCUUCAGGACGGCUCUGCCCUUCAUCAGCCUCGCCAGCCACCAGCCUAGAUCACCCAAAGCCUUCAAAAGACACGGUCUCUGCCCCCACCCCUUCGCCUGGGAUUUGAGGGCACCCUGAGGGUCCUCUCAAACUCAGCCAGGACCCCAAGGGGACAGGGGGAGAGUCAGGGUGCCACGGGAGACCAGAAUUGCCUGCACUGACCAGAGAUGGCACCUCCAGCAGGGCAGUGCCAGCCAGCUGGCAUCUGGGUGGAGUUCGGUCCCAGCUGUUCCGGCCGCUGCUUGAGGCUCGACUCCAGCUCCGUUGCCGGAAGCCCAGCUGCUGCGGUGCAGCCCGAGGCUGCUGGGAACCGAGCUGCGCUAUUCUGGGACUGUGAUGGAGCUCCGGGACGCCUGGCAGCAGCUGAAAUUUCAGCCCCUUUGGUAGACGUGCUGUUUGCUUUCCCUCCGAUGAUAAGGCAGAGUUCAAAUCAUCCCACAAAGUUCAGAACCACUGAUGGUGCAUCUGAGUGUCUUAAUAGCAGUUGUGGUUUUGCUAAAGUGGGGACUGGCCAUAAACAAUCUGUACUUCAGCCCUUGGAUACAGCAGCCUUCAUUCUUGCUGUCACUCACACCACACAACCUGUAGUCAUUUUCCUUUAGCUUUACAGUUUGUCCUCAUACCCACUCUGCCACAUUAACCCAUCCACUGGCAUUCUGGUGCAGUCCCUCAAAUUUAAAUCCAAUGAUGGAUUUCCUCUGAGAGCCUUCUCCCUCCCUCCCUCCCUCCCUCCCUUCCUCCCUCCCUUCCUUCCUUCCUUCUUAAAUUGAGAUGGGAAGAUCUGAUUCUGCAGUGCAAACAAUCAAGUAUGAAGACUGAGUUUGGGUGACAAAAGACUAGGGUCAUAAUCAAACCCAAUUUACAACAAAGUUAAGCCCCCGUGAUUAACCUGUUUUGGGAGAGCCCUCAGAGAAGCCCCCUGAGAUGAUGCCUGGUUUUAUUAUCCUCAUGCGGGAACUGGAGGCCAAGUUGGGAAGAGAGCCUACUUAAGGUCACAAGUGAUGGACGUAAAGCUUAGGCCCGGUGUUUUGAUCUCCUGCCAUGAAAUCAUAGAGUUUUAGAGCUGGAAAGGGCAACAGAGUUGUCCAAAGCGCACAGAACUUGCUCAUCUGUAAAAUGAGGUGAUAAUCCCUGCCCCUCUUCCCCUGUUGAUUGCUGCAGAGGUUCCAUGAAACCACGGAUCUGAGAACCCUUGGCUGGAGUGACCAGUGAUUUGGGACCUUCCGGUCCCAGUCUCGUCUUCCUCCACUGCCAGUCUGUGUAGGGAGAAAGCAACUCACAAAAAUGGAAACAAGCUGGUCCUUAGGCUUUCCCAAACUUCAGCGCACAGCUCCAGGGUCAGUUGUUGUGUUUGUUUAAAAAGCAGAUUUCUCGGUUCCAUUCUGGGCUAUGGAAUUUGAGUCUCUAGCCAAGAAGAAGCCUAAGUGGCUGUUUGUAAAAAUCCCCUCUCCCCACUGCCAAAUAUGAUUAAUGAUGCACACUGCCCUUGAGAACCAAGGUCAAACCAAGAAUUAUUCAAGUCACCUAUGAGGAGAGGAAGGUGGAAAAACACAACUGGCGCGGAUGGCCAGUGAAGGAUUCUGUGUCGUCGCAGCCAGGUGGGCAGCUUCCCUGCUUUUUGGGGAAUGAGGGCCAUUGGAGGAUGAGCGUAUUAGGGGAACCACUGGCCGAAGCCACCUGCCCUGACCAGGCAAGAUAGUAAUCACUUGCAUGAGUUCUCUUAUAACAGGAGGUCCUGGUAAGGAACGUGGAACUAACAAGC